CUCCUCGUGACCUCUCCUCCUCUGAGGAAGCGUGUUUAGCCUUGGGAUGAAUUGGCGUUGUGAAGGUUCUCGCAGAGGAGCAGCCGCCUCCGGACCAGUGUCGUCAUGGUGACCAGGCGCUGACAUCGUUGCGACGAGAUGUGCGAGUGGCUUGGCGUUUUCAAGCCGCUCAGGAGGAUGAUCGACAACGCAGUGACGUGGUCGGUGGCGGUGUGGCGUGUCACCGGGGGAUGGUGGAGGAUGUGACAGCUCAGGGCCGAUGGGAGAUGAUCGCGGGACACGAUGACCUGCAGUCGUCUUUAUGGUCCUGACGACAGUUUCCUUGUCUGGCUCCAGAGGCUGCACCGUGCUGCGAUUUGAAGUGUGUGGAUUCUCAGCCAGCCACGUUGGUGCCGUUCGUCUUUACCUUCUCGCUCUCCGUGUCCAGUGCCGAGGUGGCCUCGUCCAGGAGCAGGAUCUUGGGGUCGCGGAUGAUCGCCCUGGCGAUGGCGAUGCGUUGCUUCUGACCGCGAGACAACUGAGAACCCUGGGCGCCCACGUUGGUGUCGUAUUUCUGAGGCAGGGAGACAGAACAAGACCGAUGAUGAGUCUUAAUUAUUUCUGGGUCACAAAAACUGUUCUAAACUGUUUAGAAAAGAAAUAUCACGUGUUUGCAUAACUUAUUUAUGUGCCAGUGCAAGUUUUUCCCUCUCAGCUUGUCAGUUCUCCAAAUGUUCCAAUUGCACCAUAUAACCGUCAAGGACAGAUAAAUAGAUGAAACGCAUCGGAGGCACUGAGUGUUUGUCCCAUUGUCCUGAUCAGCCUGCGUCAGGGAGCCGUACCUCGGGAAGCGCCAUGACAAAGCUG